GGCACAGCAAUGAAAAUGCAAAAAGCGGCCAAAGAGCCAUGACGUCGGUUAGAACCUCCAUGUUCAGCUGAAUUCUACCUCUAGGGGCUCCAUUUUGUUUUGGGGGGCAUCUUGAGGUGUUUGUUGAUUUGUUGGUUUGUUUAAAUCUCACACACAUACACUGGAUUGUGCUUGCCAUGUCAGUCCCAUUUGCUUGCUUUUAUUUAUUUAUUUAUUUACCUACCUGCCUAUUUAUUUAUUUACCUACUUACCUCAUGUUCACCUCAAGGGGCUUCGGGGAGGAAAUGCUAAAGGAGAUAAGCCAUGACUGCCCAACAACAGAACCUCCAUAUUCAGCUGCAGUCUACCUCUGUUUUAACAUUUUGAAUAACACAGGCGCGCGCGCACACACAAACUGAAGCAACAAUCACCCACUUCACAUUACAUUAUACAGGUGUGAUAAGCUCUCUCUCGCUGAGAUAAAGAACUCGUCCAUUCAGUGGUUGCACACACAUACACCCCGAACCAUGUGUAAAACAUACACACACCCUUCAUAUAUCAAUAUAUGAGGUCUCCUCUAUGACAUUUAGAUAAGCAAUCCUCUGUAUUCAGCUGCAGUAUCUCCAACGAGGAUGUUGCUGCAUAUGAACAUGGAGGCUCUAGGGUCCAGCCAGGCGCGUAACAACGAUCGGGCAAGGGGAGACGGUUGUCUGGGGGCCCCACUGCCUGGAGGGGCACCCCAGGGGCACCUCACGUGACUCCCCAUUGCCCCCUGCCCAGCCCCAAGGCCCCUCAACCACUUGCCCUCUUCGCCGUCUCUCCUGCUUGUUCUCCUGGCCGGCAAUCGAAGCAGCAGGCAAGCUGCCAAGAGCUCCUUUUCUCCCGCCUCUCAGCUGAUCGGCGGGUGGGCAGGGCUUCCACGGAGGCCUGGUGUAGGCCUCUGUGAAGCCUGAACUCGAGUAGGGCCCAAGCCAGCCAGGAAGGAGGAGGCAGCCAGAGAGGCCUCCACUGUUCUCUGCAGCAGAAGACCCCCCUGCUGCCAGGUGGACUGCAGCAGGGCUUCCAGGCCGGAGCGAAGGAGCCCUAGUCUGCAGAGGAGGGAGCCAGGGACGCGCCGAACGUGCGAGCAGAUGCGCUCGCUCUGCAGCUGCGGCCGGUACAGAACAUUGCAAAGGACGGAGGCAUCUGAAGAGCCGUUGCAAUUGUGUCAGCACUUCUAGCCGGGAAGGAGGAGAGCAGGGGGGCGGGUGGGAAUCUGGCGGCGGCUGCUGCCUCCAAGGUCUGUGGAAGAACAGGAAAAUGCAGAGCAAGAAUUCCUUCCAGGAUCAUAAUUAAGAAUCACAUUCUCAGGGGUCUUUUUUUUUUCCCCUUCUCUUUUUUAAUCUAAGGUGUGGAAGGGCAAUUGUGUGUUGUUGUUGUUUUUUUGUUUAAAUAUUGUACAUAAGAAAUAAAUUCACUCUUGCACAUUGAAA